rnacentral:rRNA from 1 species
GAUGAACGCUGGCGGCGUGCUUAACACAUGCAAGUCGAACGGAAAGGCCCAAGCUUGCUUGGGUACUCGAGUGGCGAACGGGUGAGUAACACGUGGGUGAUCUGCCCUGCACUUCGGGAUAAGCCUGGGAAACUGGGUCUAAUACCGGAUAGGACCACAUUUUGGAUGGUGUGGUGGAAAGUUUUUCGGUGUGGGAUGAGCUCGCGGCCUAUCAGCUUGUUGGUGGGGUAAUGGCCUACCAAGGCGUCGACGGGUAGCCGGCCCGAGAGGGUGUACGGCCACAUUGGGACUGAGAUACGGCCCAGACUCCUACGGGAGGCAGCAGUGGGGAAUAUUGCACAAUGGGCGCAAGCCUGAUGCAGCGACGCCGCGUGGGGGAUGACGGCCUUCGGGUUGUAAACUCCUUUCGCUAGGGACGAAGCGCAAGUGACGGUACCUGGAGAAGAAGCACCGGCUAACUACGUG